rnacentral:lncRNA from 1 species
AUGUUGAAUUUUGAGGUAGAACAAAGGCAGUCAAGGGUGCGAGGAUAUUGGAAGCUGUAUUCUGUGAGCGUUCAUGAAGGCUGUGGAAGGAUCCAGGCAGGAUGGCCUCAAAUUAAGAUUUUAAUGACUCUUUGGUUUAGAAAACACACUCUUAUUGUUAACACUAUCUUAUCAGGUAUCAUUUUUGAAUUCACAGAUGAAAGCUAAAAAAUUCAUAAUUACACAAAUACUUACUUGUCUUGUGUGUUUGCAUGUGUGUGUCUGUUAAGGAACAAAUGCAUAGUGCCUACAGGAAGUAAGGGCAAAAUAAUUUCAAGGACUGGGAGUUUCCGGAAUUACCUAUGGCAAAGGCAAUUGCGUGCUGCAUUUUGACAAGGUUAAAAGUAUCUACACCCAAAUGCUGACUCAAGGAGAGUACGGGCGCCACAAGACCCUGUGAGUUUCAAACGUACAUUUAAAUGUUAUUCUUUGGGGGUUAAAAUGUUUUAUUUACAAAUGAACGAGGGUUGAUUGAUCUUGAUGAAAGACAUUUAAACAGGACCUCAGCUGAUAAAAAUUUCUGGCAGUAGCCAUCAUUUGGUCAGUGUUUGAUCUUCGGUAA